rnacentral:tRNA from 1 species
AAUCAAUGAGCUUGUUAAGCAUAUAUUUUGAAAAUAUACCAAAGAAAUAUAAUUUUCUAUUGAUUU